UUAUACCCUGACGUGAUGUCUUACAGUUAUAGUUGACAAAUGGUUUCUGCUUUUGCAAGAUAUGUAUCUUUCGAUUUUUCUGACCUUCGCACAGCUGUUGGCCAGUGUCACGGCCUCGAUAGAUCAGAAUGAGCUGAGCAAUUUAAUCAUCGACUACAUUGAUUACAAAAAUGCCAGUUGUUUGAUUUCGGCAUUCCUUUGUCUACGAGAUCUUGACUCGGUAUCACUGAGCCGAAAAAUAAUGAAUGCUUCGAUUAGCGCGACGAUAUUUAAUCCAUCGAAAAUAUGCGGUGAUAGAGAAUCGCUGGAGGAUCUCCUCCGCUAUAAUUACCAUAGUAUAAAUAUCGCAACAGACCUUGACUGCGAGAGUAGCAAGGAACUGCUGAUUGGGAUUUCGGCUGGCAAAAUGUUCAACCAUUCCUACUCCUGGCUUUUGACCAGCAAUAAUAAGAGCGACGCCCUAGCGUUCAUGGGAGGGUUGAAUCUGAGCGUCGAUGCCGACGUCGUGGUGGCAAUCACAGCCGAGGAAACCGUCAAAUUAUACGAUAUAUUUAAUACGGGAAGUGAUCGAAACGGGACGUUGAACGCGACAUUUAUCGGCACCUGGCGGUCGUUGUCCCCUCGUUUGAACAUCUUCAAACUGCAAAGCCCGGUUUAUCGCCGCCAAAACCUCACCGGGAUUACUCUGAAAUUUGCUGCCGUGACGGCGUACAUGGAUCCGCGGGAAGAUGACCCGAUCAAGUAUCUUUCCAACCCUGCGAACAGAAGCUACGACACCAUAUCCAAGAUCAAUUACGCCCUGGGUGUAAUCCCUCGCGACUUCUUCAACUAUUCAGUGGAAAUAUCCACGUGGUUCGACUACGGUGGACGAUGGAAUGGGACGCCCUUCUUCGGGAUGAUGGGUGCCUUGGGACGCAGGGAGGCCGAUUUCACUCUUGGCGGUACCAUUGUGACGCAAGAACGGUUGGAGUACUGCACUCCGGUCGUGCAGAACUACCCAUUUUGGACUGGUUUCCUGUUCAAACAUCCCGCCAGUCACUCCGUCAGGAAUGUUUUCCUGGAGCCGUUGUCGCCUUCUACGUGGAACGCGGUGAUUGUCUUGUCACUUCUUGUCACUGUCGUUCUAAGUAUCGGGACGCGCUAUCACAGGCAAGAAAAUGGGAACCCUUGGUCCUUUGGGAUCUAUUCGACUCUGGCCACACUCUUUCAGCAAGGUGGAGAUUUAAGAAACCAUCGUUGUUGCGAACCGCGAUUUCAAGCCCCUCGAGAUCUAAAACUCCAACUGUUCUCAGGGUGGCACAGCUCUCUACCUGGUCACAGCGGACAUCUCCUCUUCAUAGUUUUCACGUUCUUCAGCAUGCUGCUGUACAACUUUUACAGCGCUUCUGUAGUCUCGUCGCUGCUCUCGGACCCCCCACAAAAUAUUCGUACGAUUGGGGACUUGCUGAAUUUUGGAAUGCCAUCUGCCUACGAGAACGCUUCGUAUGUUCCACACUACUUCAAAAUAUCAACUGUACCCGCGGAAAAGAUGUUCUACGAGAAGAUGCUGCUGGAUAAAGGUAAACCAAAGAUUCUUCCCCGCUCUGAUGGCAUCCGAAGGGUUAAGGAAGGGGCGUUCGCCUAUCACACCACCCCUGCUGACGCUUACGAGGAGAUUGCCCGAGAAUUCGCUCAGCCUGAGAUUUGCAGCUUGGCCGAGAUCCCGUUCAUCAGGAAGUCAGUGCUUGCGAUGUGGGCAUCGCGCGAGAAUCCCUACAGAGAGCAUCUCAAGAUCAUACAUCGGCGUCUGCAGGAAGUCGGAAUCCUGGCCAGAGAACAGAAGCGUUGGCUUGCUCCGAAACCGGAAUGCCUCGGUAGCACCGCAGUUAUUAACAGCCUUGCGUUGAACGAUGUAGCCCCGGCAUUUCUGGGUCUCCUGUGUGGCACUUUUGCCGCAGUUUUCAUAUUCGCUCUGGAACUCGCACACCGUUCGUUGAAAGAAAAGGGCCAAGCCACAGGACGUCAUAGGCGGAAAAAAAUCCGAGUCGGAAAACAACGAGAUCCAACCACGGUUAGUCAGCGCAUUUCGUAUUCAAGUCACUGAUGGGCUUGUGUCCUUGUCGACCGUCACAAAAUGACCGAAGGCUUUGGUCUUGUCUCCGUUCUCAUAUAUUUAAUGUGGUUUUGCGUAAAUCACAUAACGUGUCAAUAUCAUUUCCAUCGUUAUGUAGCGCACACACGAUAUAUGUAUACUCGCACGUUACUAACAUGCUAAAUAAAAAUCCGGUUUGAAGCAAUGAAGCACGUUAGGUAUUGUUUGCCAUCAACUUCCGAAGGCCUGCGAAUCAAGAUCAUUGAUUCAAUUCCAUCAUUCGUUUGGCCGCGUGUCGAUCCAAUGCGGAAAACAUUUUGCUGGCACAUUAAAUUCGGGGAAAAAGAUUCCGGCUCAUUGUAAAGCCGAAGCAUAUGUUAUCCAUUCGGAUGAAUUUCUCAGUACAAAUCGCUCGUUUACAACCAUCAAUGCCACGUGCUAGUAUAUCAUUGCCC
rnacentral:misc_RNA from 1 species